GGGGGCAUAGCUCAGUUGGGAGAGCAGCAGACUGAAGUAUCCAGCUUCAAGACUGAAGGUGGGGCAUUCUGAAGGUCCCGCGUUCAAUCCGCGGUGCCCCCA